AUGGACAAGACCUCUGUGCCUUACAGAUGUUGUUGGAGGAAUACACCAGUUACUCUUCUUGGCAGUACAUUAAAAGAUGCAGAAGAGGCUUGUGUGCACAUCAGACACCACAGGGACACUGAGGCGUCCCUUCUUCCAGGCGCUUCCUCUGACCUAAUCCUUCUGCCCACAUCGGUUCUGCCUUCCUACUCACCUCCCAUUGCUAUCUCUGAGGGCGUCCAGCCUGAGCUUGGAGGCACCCCAGCGAAGGGUGGAGAGGCUGACACCCCAGCCAUCAAGCCUACCUCCAGAGCAGGUGAGCCCCCCGGAGCACCGACUGUGGCCUCAUUGUCCCGCCGCCUCGGACUUGCCUCUGGGGAGGGGGGCGUCGCCACCGCCUCGAGCCGAGCCGAGCCGAGGGGCGUGCGCUCCUCCUCCGGGCGCCCCAACACAAACAGUCUCCACCCCCGCAGGCGCCGCGUGUUUACAAAGUCCGCGCCGCGCCGCGGAUCCUGAGUUUAAAGCUGGGCAGGAAGUGGGGAAGAGGGGGCGGGGGAGACAAAGGGGCUGGGUGCUCGGCGCCGCUAGUGUGGGCCCCGACUCCUCCCCCGGCCGCCCGCGGUUGGCCCCGCAGACCCCGGCCCACGUGCCCGGGCGAGGGGGCGGGGCACGCCCCGGGCUCAGGUGCGCCUGCGGGGCCCGGGCCGCGCGGGUUCCCAGAGUCUGGCCCGCGGGGCGCUCGCCAGGCGAUCGCGCGUCGCGCAGGAAAUAAACAACUUCAGGUGCUGGGUCUUGACCUCCGGCUCUGCUUCUGGCACGUGCCCGAGAUCCUCUGCGGGUAUUAGCUUAUUUUCUUCUCUAGCAAUCCCACCCCUGUUCCACACACACACAAAGGAAACUGAGGCACAGUGCGGUUAGGUAACGUGCCCGAAGCCUCACAGCCUGCGAUGUUAGGAUUCAAACCCGGCGUGCGCGCCCUCCCAGGCACCCGCAAACGGAACUGAAGGAGGGGCAGUGGGGGUCCCCGGUCCCGGCAAGGAGAACCCCCGUCCAGGGCGGCUGAUGAGCGAGUGAGACGCAGAAAACCACAGGCACCGCGGGGUCGCAACGCCUCGGGACUGAGGCGGGCCCCGGACAGCUUCUUGCCGCCCGCGCACAUCGCUGCGGAUCGAGGGCGAGAAGGCAGCGGGAUGCAGCGGAAGACCUGGGCUAGCGGGUCUAGGCUCGAGGGGCAGGUGGACGUUGGCGGGCUGCGGGGCCGGUGCGCGCAGAGUAAGGUUUCCCAAAAUUACUCGCUCAGGAUAAUCACCUGCAGAGCUUCACAACACAGAGUCCCAGGCCCCGUCCCCAGAGAGGGAGUCCCUGGGACCGAGCGGGACGCAGCCAAAGGUGUUGCUAACAACAGGCAAGUUUGGAGCGCCCCAGGGAUGUGCUCUGCGGGAGAAACGAUCUCCUCUAGAAACAGGUGCGAAAC
rnacentral:lncRNA from 1 species